rnacentral:rRNA from 1 species
UACGUAGGUGACAAGCGUUGUCCGGAUUUACUGGGCGUAAAGCGUGCGCAGGCGGUUUUGUAAGCCAGAUGUGAAAUCCCCGGGCUUAACCUGGGAAUGGCAUUGGAAACUGGCGGGCUUGAGUGUGGCAGAGGAGACUGGAAUUCCUGGUGUAGCAGUGAAAUGCGUAGAUAUCAGGAGGAAUACCGAUGGCGAAGGCAGGUCUCUGGGCUAGAACUGACGCUCAUGCACGAAAGCGUGGGGAGCAAACAGG